GAUGAACGCUGGCGGCGUGCCUAAUACAUGCAAGUCGAGCGAACAGACGAGGAGCUUGCUCCUCUGACGUUAGCGGCGGACGGGUGAGUAACACGUGGAUAACCUACCUAUAAGACUGGGAUAACUUCGGGAAACCGGAGCUAAUACCGGAUAACAUGUUGAACCGCAUGGUUCAACAGUGAAAGACGGUCUUGCUGUCACUUAUAGAUGGAUCCGCGCCGCAUUAGCUAGUUGGUAAGGUAACGGCUUACCAAGGCAACGAUGCGUAGCCGACCUGAGAGGGUGAUCGGCCACACUGGAACUGAGACACGGUCCAGACUCCUACGGGAGGCAGCAGUAGGGAAUCUUCCGCAAUGGGCGAAAGCCUGACGGAGCAACGCCGCGUGAGUGAUGAAGGUCUUCGGAUCGUAAAACUCUGUUAUUAGGGAAGAACAAAUGUGUAAGUAACUAUGCACGUCUUGACGGUACCUAAUCAGAAAGCCACGGCUAACCACGUG
rnacentral:rRNA from 1 species